rnacentral:tRNA from 1 species
CAUUAGAUGACUGAAAGCAAGUAAAUGGUCUCA